rnacentral:rRNA from 1 species
UACGUAGGGGGCGAGCGUUGUCCGGAUUUAUUGGGCGUAAAGAGCGUGUAGGCGGUUCGGUAAGUCUGUCGUGAAAUCCUGAGGCUCAACCUCGGGCGUGCGAUGGAUACUGCCGGGCUAGAGGAUGGUAGAGGCAGGCGGAAUUCCGGGUGUAGCGGUGGAAUGCGUAGAGAUCCGGAAGAACACCGGUGGCGAAGGCGGCCUGCUGGGCAGUUGCUGACACUGAUGCGCGACAGCGUGGGAGCAAACAGG